rnacentral:rRNA from 1 species
CCUACGGGUGGCUGCAGUGGGGAAUAUUGGACAAUGGGCGAAAGCCUGAUCCAGCCAUGCCGCGUGUGUGAAGAAGGCCUUCGGGUUGUAAAGCACUUUCAGUGGGGAAGAAAUCCUUGGGGCUAAUACCCUCGAGGAAGGACAUCACCCACAGAAGAAGCACCGGCUAACUCCGUGCCAGCAGCCGCGGUAAUACGGAGGGUGCGAGCGUUAAUCGGAAUUACUGGGCGUAAAGCGCGCGUAGGCGGUUUGAUAAGCCGGUUGUGAAAGCCCCGGGCUCAACCUGGGAACGGCAUCCGGAACUGUCAGGCUAGAGUGCAGGAGAGGAAGGUAGAAUUCCCGGUGUAGCGGUGAAAUGCGUAGAGAUCGGGAGGAAUACCAGUGGCGAAGGCGGCCUUCUGGAAUGACACUGACGCUGAGGUGCGAAAGCGUGGGUAGCAAACAGGAUUAGAUACCCGAGUAGUC